GUUCCUUUUAACACCUAAACACUGUCAGGAAGUCUGGCUUAAGUUGAGAGGCCUAUUUUAACUCUCUUUUGCCAAACACUAUUAAAAAUUUCUCAUUUAAAGCUGACAGUCUAUGAGUGUAUGAGUUCAAACACAUCACUUAUUUUCUGUCCCCUGGGAAAGUGAAUUGGUUUUAAUUUAGCUCCAAGUGUUUACACCGCUAUGUUCAUUGGCCGGUUUACAAGAGAGAUCUAAGACCUGAAUGAAACUGUAGCAAUCUUGUAGAAAAUAGAGCUUCAUAGGUUGAGGAUGGGCCUGAGAGCCUCUUUUCCUUUUUUUAAACAAAUGUCAAAUUAAUUAGUUUUGCUUUACCAACAAAAUGCCUCAGUAGAAUAAAAUUUAAAUUUGGAAAUUACAGAGCUCAAUAUUGAAUCCAUUGAUGACUUUUUAAAGAGAAAUACACUAUUUACCUAAAGCCACUUAAGAUGUAUUCAUUGUAGAAUUGCAUUGGUUGGGUUUUAUUUUUCUAAAUUCUUGACAAUUUAAAGGGUGAAUUUUGAUCUGCAGUGCUGAACGGCUAAUCUGGACUUACUUAAGAUUGGAUGACAAAGUGAUGUGACUUUGUUGGCAGGAUAUCUGCCAAAUAGAGUAUAGCGUCCAACAGGGUUUUUUGGAAAGGGCAUUAUUCUCUGAUGUGGGAGGCAAGUGGACUCUGGACCAUUAGAAGCAGCUACAUAAAAACUCCUGUUUUGAAGCUGGCCUCCCAGUGACCAGCUGGAUGGGUGGUGAGAAGCAGAUUUUUAACAAUGGGUUGUCCUUCCGCAUCAUUGUAUUUAUUUUGAGAAGAAAGAUAAUUGUCUGUUACAUUCCCCUAUCAGUUUUCUGGUUAAAGUUUCAGAGUAUGCAAGUAUCACCAUGAACCAAAUGCUUUACAAGCUAUCACAUUUGUGAACUUAAUGAAAUGGUCAUAAUUUGUGUAAAUAUGUCUUUUAAGUGAUGUUGGAGAGUUGUGAUUCAUAGUUCAUAUUUUCAAAAUGCAUUCCAUUUCAAAUAAAGUAUCUAUAGAGGUGAUUGACCUGUGGACUUUUUGAAGGCCUUGUUCACCUGUCCCAUACACUGCGUGUCCUUGUGGGAAGAAGAAUGUUCUAAAGGGCUUGGCCACUGUAAAGGA
rnacentral:lncRNA from 1 species